rnacentral:tRNA from 1 species
AGUCUUGUAGCUCAGCUGGUUAGAGCGCUACACUGAUAAUGUAGAGGUCGGCAGUUCGAGCCUGCCCAAGACUACUA